UGAUAGCGUGGAAGCGGAGGUUGCUACAUAAUCAAAAUCACGUUGAUGAGUAGGUUUUUCGUGGAGCGAAUGUCAAUUAAAAAUAACUGGCGACAA
rnacentral:ncRNA from 1 species